AUGGCAGGGGAAGGGGGCGGGGAGGAGAAGACGAUCGCCGUCGGAGCAGGAGACACGGAGGAGAAGAGCGGCGAGGAGACGGCGGCGGCGCUUCCAAAGCUUCCGAAGAAACAGGCGUGCAAGAGGCCCGCGGAGGACCAGCAGCUGCAGAACGCCGCCGCCGCCAAGAAGCGGGCUCAGCACUCAAACCGCCAGCGCGCCGGAGCCCCAGCACCGCCACCACAAGGCAACGGCAUGCAGGCUCCUACCAGGACGCCGGAAUACUAUGCUCGACCACCGUUGCCGCGGCCACCGGUGGCACGCAACAACGGCCCGGCGCCGCAGCCGGCGUUGAACGGGCAGGUGCGCGUACCGCGGCAGCCGGCGGCAUACAACGGGCAGGUGCCGAUGAUGACACGACAGCCGGCGGCACACGACGGGCAGGUGCCGAUGAUGACACGACAGCCGGCGGCAUACGACGGGCAGAUGCCGGUGGCGCACCAGCAGGUGGCGUUCAACGGCCAGAUGCGGCCGCCGCCGUACCGGCCCGCAGGUACCCCCAGCAAUCACGCUCAGAAUCAGACAGUGAUAACGCCGCCUUCGUGCCCGGCCGGCCAAGCAGUGAACCCGCCGCCGGCCGUCCCGCGGAUGCAGAAGCAGCCAGAGACGGAUGAGAUGCGCGAGAAGCGAGUGAUUCAGCAAAAUCUGGAGGAAUACCUCCGGUUACAAAGACAGAUCUACGCAGCCAAGCAGCAAUGGCGGAUGACGUUCAUGCAGCAGCAGCAACAGGGCAUGGCGUUCACGCAGCAGCAGCAGCAGCAGCAAGCGCAGGCUAUGGCGUUCACGCAGCAGCAGCAACCGCAGUCUAUGGCGUUCACGCAGCAGCAGCAACAGGCUAUGGCGUUCACGCAGCAGCAGCAGCAGCACGCGCAGGCUAUGGCGUUCGCGCGGCAGCAGCAGCAGCCGACGGCGUACGCGCCGCAGCUGCAGCAGUACCGUCAGCAGCAGCAGCAGCAGUACCAUCAGCAACUGCCGUACUUGGGCGGCGCCAGCGCGAGCUGCCAUCAUCAGGCGGGGGGCAUGGUCCCUCGGUUCUCGCUCGACGACUUCUACGCUAGCAACGCUGCGCAGCACUACGAGCGCUCUCGGAUGGUCCUCCCGGCGGCGAGCGGUUCGCUAGGAGAGGCGGCGCGGGCGACGGCAGAGGCUUUGCCGGUCAGUACGGUGGUGAGUGUGGAGGGAGACGGGGAUCGCGGCAGCCAUGGCCAGCAGGAGCCCGCCCGCGCGUCGUCGGAGGGCGAUGGCUCCCAGCAUGCAUGA
rnacentral:rRNA from 1 species